GGGGGUGUGGCCGAAUUGGUUAAGGCACCGGGCUGUUAACCCGAGGUCGUUUCGUAACGUGCGGGUUCGAGUCCCGUCAUCCUCGCCA
rnacentral:tRNA from 1 species